ACCCCUGUGGUGUAGUUGGUAACGCCUUGGCUUAGUAAGUCCCAGGUUCAAGUCCCGGUCGGGGUA